UAUUCUUUCCUUUACUUUCCCCCAAUUACUCCCACCAAAACAGCAACCCACUCUUACUCGAAACCAAAUCCAAAACAGCCAGCAACCAGAAGGAAGAAUAUUCAAACCAUAGAAAUCAAACCCUAAAAAUCGAACUCAUUUCUCUACUACCCUACUACGAUUUGUAGAUUGAUUUGGAAAGUUAGGGCUUCGAUACUAGUUCUUCAGGUUCAUUUCGCUUUCGCCUUAUUUCAGAUUAGGUUCCGAGUAAUCGAGCAGCAGUGAGAUGAGCAACAACACGGAGAGUUCUGAGCCUCCUGACCUGAGCCUCCUGACCUUGAGAGGCAGCAGCAGCGUGACGGUGGUGCUGAGGUGGUUACCUCAAUUCCCGAUUCUUCUGGCGUUGAGAUGCAGUGUCGCCGCUGCUGAACGUCAUCGUUUCCAGAACCACAGGCUCCCUCGAUCCGCUGCUACCGCCGCAUCCACCGCUAAUUCGUCCAAGGAGCCAUAAUAGAAGAAGGGUAGAAAUCUGUCCAGCACAGAUUAGGUCCGCAACACUUUCGUCUCUGCUUUGUCUGUAUCAAUGCCGAAGAAGAGAAGGAGAGAGAGGUAUCAUAACCCGGAGCCAUUUCGGGCCGACAACGAUGGCGCCUCUGUGGCCUCCAAGAAGCGAACCAAGUCAUUGGACUGAAAUUAUGCUUAGACGGAAGCGAAUUAGAAAUCAUGUUUCAGCUAUGCUCUAGCAAGAGUGCCAUGUUCUCUUUAGCACAGGCCCUGUCUCUGAUGCCCAGGAGGACCCAGAUGAUGGGAAAGGGUAAGGGAAUGAGAAUCACAUGCCAGGCCGCAAUUCCAGCUGAUAAUGUUCCUGACAUGGGUAAGAGGAAGCUUAUGAAUCUGCUUCUUCUACCCUCUGGUUUCCUCUGCCACUUUCUUUGCUCCACCUGGCUUUGUGUUGGAAGUGGUGGUCAAGUUGCCAAGGAUGCUCUACGAAACAAUGUAAUUGCAGCAGAAUGGCUUAAGAACCAUGGCCCUGGUGACAGGGCUUUCACACAAGGAUUGAAGGUCUUUGCUAUGGAAAGUUGGAAGCUGGACUACUUACAUUCAUUAUACCCAUUGUUCUUCUUGGGCACCUGUGUGGCUUGAUGGAUGAUGGAGUGAAACUUUCUCUACUGGGUUCAUGGAUGGCCUUGUUUGUAUUAUUUGCUGGAAGGAAGUUCUCAAAACCAAUUAAGAUUUUGGAGCUGCAAUAUCUGGUGCAAACAAGCUUGGCCAAGUGGUUGAGACUUGCUGUGGUUGAGACUUGCUGUGAAUAUAUGGGGACAACAUCAUUGCUGGUAAUAAGGCGGAAGUAUGGGGAACAAGUUCUUCUUGUUGUCGAGGACUAGUGAGCUCACUCUCUGUUUUGAAGAAAGUAUUCCUUAAGACGAGAAGAUGAUUUGUUCGCAUAGCCAUGGAGAAUGGCUAUCCCCUGGUUUCAGUUUUCUGCUUUGAUCAGCAAACUCGUCAAUCUACUCAGAAUGUGUGUUUGUGUAUUAUCAAGUGCAGCAAACACUAGUGAAGUAAGUUCCCUUACAUUUCUCUUGAGCAUAUUUUGGUGGUCUCUCUUUUCCAAUAGCUAUGUUUUCCAACAUACUUUAGUUGUUAAUUUCUUUGGUAACCUGCUAGGUACUCACUCAGAACUUGUGUUCAACAGCAGCAAGCAAUUAAUGUCAUUUUGAAUGCAUGGCCACAAGAAACUAAUGUAAAAAUUUAUUAUAAUCUGCAUGGUUGCAGACUUGCAGAUAUAUGGGUACAGAAUGGCAUUGUGGGCAGAGCAUUUAGGACUUGUUGAAGAAUGUUUCAAUCAGCCAGAGUUUUGAAUGUGUUCAAAGGGUAAGGUCAUUGGGUGAGCAUAACUGGAGUCAAUACUAGAGCUUCUGCAGGGUCCUUGUCCAUCAUGUGUAGGAUAGAUGACUUAAGAGAUCGAUCGAAAGACUGCUUAUCAUCUUUGCCUACAAGAGAGCUUCUGCAAGAACAAAUGAAGGUGCAUUAAAGGAAAGCAGCAGUAAUCUAUGUAGUUUAGGUCUUCCUAGCUAGAACAUUUUACAAGUACAGACAAUUCUCUAUGUUGUCCUAUCUUGAAUUAUAUGGAUUAUAGUACUAUUUCUAUGGUCAUAUAUUGACCAUUAUUUCUGGAAGAAAGUUUAUAUGGAUAUUCUUGUUGUCGAAGUUUCAUUCAUA